rnacentral:rRNA from 1 species
CUAUCUGCAGUCGAGCGGAGCACUUCGGUGCUUAGCGGCGGACGGGUGAGUAACACGUAGGUAACCUGCCUAUUAGACUGGGAUAACUAUCGGAAACGAUAGCUAAGACCGGAUAACUGGUUUUCUCGCAUGAGAGAAUCAUGAAACACGGAGCAAUCUGUGGCUGAUAGAUGGGCCUGCGGCGCAUUAGCUAGUUGGUAGGGUAACGGCCUACCAAGGCGACGAUGCGUAGCCGACCUGAGAGGGUGAACGGCCACACUGGGACUGAGACACGGCCCAGACUCCUACGGGAGGCAGCAGUAGGGAAUCUUCCGCAAUGGACGCAAGUCUGACGGAGCAACGCCGCGUGAGUGAUGAAGGUUUUCGGAUCGUAAAGCUCUGUUGCCCUAGACGAACAGCAAGGCGAGUAACUGCGCUUUGUGUGACGGUAUAGGAGAAGAAAGCCCCGGCUAACUACGUGCCAGCAGCCGCGGUAAUACGUAGGGGGCAAGCGUUGUCCGGAAUUAUUGGGCGUAAAGCGCGCGCAGGCGGUUAAUUAAGUUGGGUGUUUAAGCCCGGGGCUCAACCCCGGUUCGCAUCCAAAACUGGUUGACUUGAGUGUAGGAGAGGAAAGUGGAAUUCCACGUGUAGCGGUGAAAUGCGUAGAGAUGUGGAGGAACACCAGUGGCGAAGGCGACUUUCUGGCCUAUAACUGACGCUGAGGCGCGAAAGCGUGGGGAGCAAACAGGAUUAGAUACCCUGGUAGUCCACGCCGUAAACGAUGCAUACUAGGUGUUGGGGGAUUCGAUUCCCUCG